GAUGGAGGGGGAUAACUACUGGAAACGGUAGCUAAUACCGCAUAACGUCGCAAGACCAAAGAGGGGGACCUUAGGGCCUCUUGCCAUCGGAUGUGCCCAGAUGGGAUUAGCUAGUAGGUGGGGUAAUGGCUCACCUAGGCGACGAUCCCUAGCUGGUCUGAGAGGAUGACCAGCCACACUGGAACUGAGACACGGUCCAGACUCCUACGGGAGGCAGCAGUGGGGAAUAUUGCACAAU
rnacentral:rRNA from 1 species